GAUGAACGCUGGCGGCGUGCCUAAUACAUGCAAGUCGAGCGAACAGAUGAGGAGCUUGCUCCUCUGCCGUUAGCGGCGGACGGGUGAGUAACACGUGGAUCACCUACCUCUAAGACUGGGAUAACUUCGGGAAACCGGAGCUAAUACUGGAUCAUAUAUUGAACCGCAUGGUUCAAUAGUGAAAGACGGUUUUGCUGUCUCUUAUAGAUGGAUCCGCGCCGCAUUAGCUAGUUGGUAAGGUAACGGCUUACCAAGGCGACGAUGCGUAGCCGACCUGAGAGGGUGAUCGGCCACACUGGAACUGAGACACGGUCCAGACUCCUACGGGAGGCAGCAGUGGGGAAUCUUCCACAAUGGGCGAAAGCCUGACGCAGCAACGCCGCGUGAGUGAAGAAGGUCUUCGGAUCGUAAAACUCUUUUAUUAGGGAAGAACAAAAGUAGGAGUAACUAUGCACGUCUUGACGGUACCUAAACAGAAAGCCACGGCUAACUUCGUG
rnacentral:rRNA from 1 species